UUUAUAUUCCAAAAAUAAUUUUCCUUAGUUUAUUACAAAUUACAAAAAUUACUUUGCCUAAUUUGUUAUAAUUUUUUAAAGAUUAUUGAAAUUAUUUUUUUGGCAAUUACGUGGUAUUACGUGAUUUUUUUUUAAAUAAUUGGUAUUUUGUCGGUCGGUAAUUGUUUUGGGCAAAUAUUGUUAAAAAAAAUAUAACCCCGCCUGGUUUUCCUGGUGCCGGUCCAAUUAUUUGGUUAUAAUAUUAAAUUUCCUUUUUUUUGGCCAAAUCCCUUUGGUUUUUAAUAAUUUAUAUUUUUUUAAUUUUUAUUUUUAAUUUUGUUUUUUUUUGGCUAAUUUUUUUGCGUUAUAUUUAAUUAUAUAACCAAAUCGAAAUUCGGUCGUUCGUCGACAAAACGCCGCUACGUUUUUUUUUUCCCUAUUGUCGACCGAUAUUAUCGAAAUGUUUUUUUGCAAUCCCUAUUAUACCAAAAACGUAAUAUUUUGUCAAAUAUUUCCGCAAAAUUAUAUUUAUUGCGUAAAAUACGUUCGUUUUAACCGUUUUGGGUACGAUAUAUUAAAUUUAUCCGUUAUUUAAAUCCAUUAUAUUAAUCGUUAAUAUUCGAAAUUAAAUACGAAAAUUAAAACGUUUGAAAAACAAAUUUACGCGUAAUAAAUAAAAUUAUUUCGUUUGCGGAAAUAAAAAGAUUAUAAUUUAAAAAAAAUAAUGCGAAUUAUAUUUCGCGGUAUUAAUAAUUUGGAAGAAUUAGAUUAUAUAAAACGAAAAAAAAUAAAAUAGGAAAAACGGCGGCGAUUAAUUGAAAAUUUUUUUAAAAUAUUUUUUUAAUUGUUUUUUCCGGAUUUUAAUUUUGUUUGGGAUUUAAUUUUCCCGAUAAAUGUUUUUAAUUCUUUCCUGUUGGAUAAAAUAAAUAUUUUUGCGCAAUAUUUAAUUGGUAAAUUAUUUAUUUUCGUAUUUUAAUUUGUAAUAUAUAUUAAUUAUUUUUUCGUUAAUUCGUUUAAUAAUAUGGUUUCGAAUUUUGGUCGGUUUUUAAUUUUUAAAAAUAAUAAAUGGUAUUUUUUUAGGUUUUUUUUUUUAAUUAAUUUAUUCGCAAAUCCAAUUUCCAAUAAUAUUGGCGGAAUAAUUUUUGGCAAUUUUGGAAAUGGUUAAAAAAUUUCCAAAUAUUUUUUUUAUAUCCGUAAUUUUUCCAUUUGACAAAAUAUUUUAUUUUACCGUAGUUGCGUUUAUAAUUAAAUAUUCGUUCGAUUUUAUUAAUUUGUUUUGCGUCGAUUUUAAUUGUUUUUUACGUAUUAAUACCGUAUAAUGUUAAUUUUAAUAAUAAUAUAUAAAAUAUAGGGUAAAUCUUUAUAAUAUUUGGUAAUAAUAAUUUAUAAUUGGUUUCGUUAAUAUUUUUAUUAAUCUUAAAAAAUCCAAAUUUUUUAAAGUUAAAUUUGCUAUUUGGUCGUUAUAUUUUAAUAUUGCGUUAAAUAAAAUAAACGUUAUUUUUUUUUUAAAAAAUGGUUUUUUUAUCCGAUAUCAAUUGGCGUAUUUUAUUA
rnacentral:sRNA from 1 species